rnacentral:rRNA from 1 species
UACGUAGGGUGCGAGCGUUAAUAGGAAUUACUGGGCGUAAAGCGUGCGCAUGCGGCUCUUCAAGUCAGAUGUGAAAGCCCCGGGCUUAACCUGGGAAUAGCGUUUGAAGCUUGAGGGCUGGAGUGUGGCAGAGGGAGGUGGAAUUCCACGUGUAGCAGUGAAAUGCGUAGAGAUGUGGAGGAACACCGAUGGCGAAGGCAGCCUCCUGGGCCAACACUGACGCUCAUGCACGAAAGCGUGGGGAGCAAACAGG